rnacentral:rRNA from 1 species
UACGAAGGGGCUAGCGUUGUUCGGAAUCACUGGGCGUAAAGCGCACGUAGGCGGAUGUGCCAGUUAGGGUGAAAUCCCGGAGCUCAACUCGGAACUGCCUCUGAUACAGCACGUCUUGAGUUCGAGAGAGGUGGGUGGAAUUCCUAGUGUAGAGGUGAAAAUUCGUGAGAUAUUAGGAAGAACACCGGUGGCGAAGGCGGCCCACUGGCUCGAUACUGACGCGUGAGGUGGCGAAACGUGGGGAGCAAACAGGGAU